UACGUAGGGGGCGAGCGUUGUCCGGAUUUAUUGGGCGUAAAGAGCGUGUAGGCGGCCAUGUAGGUCCGGUGUGAAAACUCGAGGCUUAACCUCGAGAUGUCAUCGGAAACCAUUUGGCUAGAGUCCGGAAGAGGAGAGUGGAAUUCCUGGUGUAGCGGUGAAAUGCGCAGAUAUCAGGAGGAACACCGAUGGCGAAGGCAGCUCGCUGGGACGGUACUGACGCUGAGGCGCGAAAGCCAGGGGAGCAAACGGG
rnacentral:rRNA from 1 species